UUUUGUGGGGUGCUCGAGUGGCGAACGGGUGAGUAACACGUGAGUAACCUGCCCUUGACUUUGGGAUAACUUCAGGAAACUGGGGCUAAUACCGGAUAGGAGCUCCUGCUGCAUGGUGGGGGUUGGAAAGUUUCGGCGGUUGGGGAUGGGCUCGCGGCUUAUCAGCUUGUUGGUGGGGUAGUGGCUUACCAAGGCUUUGACGGGUAGCCGGCCUGAGAGGGUGACCGGCCACAUUGGGACUGAGAUACGGCCCAG
rnacentral:rRNA from 1 species